UACGAAGGGGGCUAGCGUUGCUCGGAAUCACUGGGCGUAAAGGGUGCGUAGGCGGGUCUUUUAAGUCAGGGGUGAAAUCCUGGAGCUCAACUCCAGAACUGCCUUCGAUACUGGCGAUCUUGAGUCCGGAAGAGGUGAGUGGAACUCCUAGUGUAGAGGUGGAAUUCGUAGAUAUUAGGAAGAACACCAGUGGCGAAGGCGGCUCACUGGUCCGGUACUGACGCUGAGGUGCGAAAAGCGUGGGGAGCAAACAGG
rnacentral:rRNA from 1 species